ensembl:lncRNA
CAGGUAGGGUUAGGGUAGGUGUAGGGAGGGCUUUAUUGUCCCAAUAAGGUGGCAUCCAUUUAAUAAUUUGAAUUAAAAUGAAAAUGUACACUCAAUAAGUUAUUACUGCAUACUGUUUUAUGAUUUACAACAAUACUGAGAUGCAGAUAACUGUCAAUAAGUGGUAGCUAUAAAUAGCAGAAAAUCCUGCUAUUUUAACAUAGUGUAAAUAGAAUAGCUAUUUGCACUUAGAGUAAAAAGCCUCUAUCGCUGCUGCCUUUUAUUAUUAUUAUUAUUAUUUACACAUUAAUAAAAUUCAAAUUUGUCAUAUAAUUUCAGAAAAAAAAAAAAAAAAAAUUGACACCAACAUUUAACAUGUAUUUUUUACAGUGGUUAAGCCAGAGCAGAGUUAUUUAUGUGUGCUGGAAUCAGUUAUAGCAGGUGUUUGGAUCGUCUUCAUAGUCAUACCUAGCAUUUUAUAAGUGGUUUAAUCUAUUUCUGUGGGCUCUUCUUUAGUGUCACAUGAUGAAAUGGGCUGCCUGUGCUCUCUGGAAAUUGGGAACCAUUUGUGGCUGUCCUGCUGCAAGUUUGUGAAAAAUCGUCAGGCCUGAAGGAAUAUCAGAAUGACAUAUCACUCACGUGAACUAUAGGAUAAAUGUACAAAACUUUUAUUUAUUUAUUUAUUUUGUUCUUUAUAUAUAAAGGAAAUGUGUGUGUGUGGGGGUGAAGUACUAUUUUUAGCAACCUAUUUAUAAAAAUGAGUUGGUAUUGAGAAUGAAAUGAUGAAAUCAGUCUACAACACUAGUCCUAUCACACACACUGUGGCCAUGCUAAUUAAUUUAGAAUGAAAAUGAGAUAUAUCUGGAUAAAGCAUAGCAGACCUAAAAACCUACUUAAAUAGAGCAAUCACAAUCUUCAUUUAUUUUGCUCCUCAUUCUUUAAUUGAUUAUUUAAAGGACGGGAGAGGACUAUCCAGCUAAACCCUUGGGACAGGCAUGCAUCAGUCAAGCACAACAACAGUCAAGUUAACCCAUGAGCUUUAUACAUCAGUUUCACAGGUGGCUUUAUCUGAAGUCUUCACAAGUGUUGCGGUCAUCUGGAUUCUUCACAAAGGCUGGAUCUAAAUUUAAGCUGCUGCAAUCUAGGAAAUCAUGAGGUAGAAUCAAGAAGGUAAAAUAAUUAGCACUGUUGCUGUUUAUAGUAGGCCUA